GCCGGAGUGGCGGAAUGGCAGACGCGCUGGAUUCAAAAUCCAGUGAGGUAACACUCGUGUGGGUUCGAGUCCCACCUCCGGUA
rnacentral:tRNA from 1 species